UUCAAAUAAGAUUGCUCAAAUCGAAAAUGUACCGACUUGUGACCCAUCCCUGCUUUAACUUGUGACCCAUCCUUGCUUGAACGAAUAAAUACAGCCAUGACAAAGCCGAGAAUCAGAACACUUUGAGCAGUGACUGAAGCAAGUCGGCUGACCUUGCAUGAGUACUGACGUGUUCUCCCUCUGCAGCGGUGAAUCAUAUCUUGACUGGUUUUUGACUCCAACAUCAACUCAGAAGCAAACAUCUUUUUCUCCAAUCGUCCCGAACCUGUCUUGGUCGCUUUUCAGGACCAACACUCCUCCUGCAGACUCUCGCGAUGAAGAGCAUCUGAAUCCAUCCCAUUUUGAUUCAUGGUGGAUGUGCUGAAGCAGAGAAGUAUCUAGAGCCUCCAUGGUAGAAGACCUGAAGGACCAGGACUGGACUCUGCUGCGAGUAAAAGGUGCAAAAAAUCCCAAUUCACGGUUCACCAUCCGCUCAGCCAUCUGGUUUUCAUCAGUAGCCGUUUGUAAGGGUGUGUCAGAUCCCUGCAUGGUUGACCCAGGAGUCUGUGACCAUGUGGACUGUGCACUCCAACGACACGUAUCUGAUGACAGAACUCCUAUUGAAAAGGUGGCGGCAGGCACAUAGCAGACAAAGACAACUGCAAGUCACAUCAUGAGCAGAGGAAGAAAAAACACAAGGACAUAUUAUGAGGAAACACUGUGAGAUAAGAUUGAUGUUACCAGCAUUUGGACAAUUUAUCAUCCAGGACACGUCAGAUCCAUGUUUGCCUGUGUUGUAAGAUGAGAAGAUGUACCUUCUUGUUAGUUCAUCACUUCAUAUGUGUCAUGUCGAAAUGAAGAAAUUCCCCUCUAAAAUCUGCAAACCUGUAACCAUAAAAGUGAUUGUGAGGUCAAAUCAAAUCUGCCAUUUUACUCUAUCCUGAAGAUUGACCAUGAACAGAGGUCUGAACGGUCUGUUUCUAUGGAGAAGUUGAGGGGGAAUGCUUACAUAAAUGUCUGAUUUAGAUGUAACCCUGAGAGGUUCUGUCAAUUAUGAAGUUUUACAUUUACAACUAUUUAAGUCAAGGAAGUACUUUUAUCAUUGUUUUUGGAUCUUUCUAAACAGCAAUAGAGCUCAUCCACCUUUGUAAAGCUGGUGGCAUGCUCGAAGUGACUUGUAGUCCCUACAAAACCUUAUGAAGUCGAAACUGAGGUCCAGGUACAUAGGGCUAAUCUUCCACACAUACAGGGGUUUCACAUCUGGUACUGCUCGGCCCGGCCCACAUUGCAUAUAUUGUUUUCAUACCUGGGUGGCUUGGUACAGUUCCCUCUCCCAACGGGCAGUUUCUCAGUCCUUAUCCUCUUGUGGUCCUCUCGGGGCUGGUCCGGGCCAACACACCCACUAUGACUGACUCAAAUACAUGCCAUUAUGGGGAGCCUCCGAUUGGUGGAUAGACUCAACCAGCAGGGGCUUCCCACAUGGACGAUUCAUCAUCCUUCUGGAUGCUGAGACAUAAAUGUCGCCUUUGACUGAAGUUGUAGCAGCUCUCUGUCUCUUUCUCACUGCUUUGAGGGGCACACACACACACACCUUCAUGGUCGCCUUUGAUGAAAGGAGACACCACAGACUAUUCUACACAUAUUUUGCCCCGCCCACAUGCUUUCCCCAUUCCUGAGAAGUGUGUGUGAACAAACCCUACCGGUGCUGAAGCCGGACCGACGCCACCCAGCCCGGUCCAUGCUAGCCCAGAUAGGAAACUGCCAAAGAGACCCCAAGGGUAUCGGGUUAAAUUCCUUUGAAUUUGGCUAAAUGUGUGAGUCGUUCUAACUGCAUUAGUUUUCUUCAUAUCUAAACCUCACAUCUACUGCAGUAAACGCACAAAAAUCUC